CAAAAGAUUUUUAUGAACGAGCGAUAGAAAUUAAAACAAAAACAUUUGGACCUGGACAUGUACUGAAAUAAUAUACAACAAUCUUCAUUUGGUUAUAAACAAACUAUAGAUAUUGAAACUGAAGCAUUUGGACUUCUACUUAUCUUUCAUUUGCUAAAAGCUAAAAUACUCCUGUCUUUGAGAAAACGUACAAAGAGAUAUAAGAAGAGGAAAUGAAUUUGUAGCUCAUUUUCAAUGAAGAAGAAAAUCAAUUUCUCUUUUCAUUUUAGGUAGUGAUGUAGCCAAGAAAAAUGGAGCUUUUACUCUAAUUAUGUGUGUCUGGCCCAUAUUUACUGUUGUCAUCUCAUAUGUAGUGUAGUGAGUAACGAAAAAGUAAUUGAACAACAAAAUAUUUAUUUUCAUA